AGCCACAUCACGUUGAAACUCAUGUUCCCGGAAGAUCACCAAAUUUAAGCAAAGUCGAACCUGGUCAGUACCUCGAUGGGUGACCGCUUGGGAAUACCUGGUGUUGUAAG